CCUACGGGGGGCAGCAGUGGGGAAUAUUGGACAAUGGGGGGAACCCUGAUCCAGCCAUGCCGCGUGUGUGAAGAAGGCCCUCGGGUUGUAAAGCACUUUCAGUGAGGAAGAACGCCUGGUGGUUAAUACCCAUCAGGAAAGACAUCACUGACAGAAGAAGCACCGGCUAACUCCGUGCCAGCAGCCGCGGUAAUACGGAGGGUGCGAGCGUUAAUCGGAAUUACUGGGCGUAAAGCGCGCGUAGGUGGCUUGAUAAGCCGGUUGUGAAAGCCCCGGGCUCAACCUGGGAACGGCAUCCGGAACUGUCAAGCUAGAGUGCAGGAGAGGAAGGUAGAAUUCCCGGUGUAGCGGUGAAAUGCGUAGAGAUCGGGAGGAAUACCAGUGGCGAAGGCAGCCUUCUGGACUGACACUGACACUGAGGUGCGAAAGCGUGGGUAGCAAACAGGAUUAGAUACCCGAGUAGUC
rnacentral:rRNA from 1 species